AUUCACUGUUCUAUGACUAAAAUUGGAAUAAUACUGAGAAAAUUAGCAUAACCUUUGCACAAGGAUGGCAUGCAGAUUUGUGAACGGUUCCGUGUUUUU
rnacentral:snRNA from 1 species